rnacentral:rRNA from 1 species
UACGGAGGAUCCGAGCGUUAUCCGGAUUUAUUGGGUUUAAAGGGUGCGUAGGCGGCCUGUUAAGUCAGGGGUGAAAGACGGUAGCUCAACUAUCGCAGUGCCCUUGACUACUGAUGGGCUUGGAAUUGAUACUAGAGGUAGGCGGAAUGUGACAAGUAGCGGUGAAAUGCAUAGAUAUGUCACAGAACACCAAUUGCGAAGGCAGCUUACUAUGGUAUUAUUGACGCUGAGGCACGAAAGCGUGGGGAUCAACAGGA